rnacentral:rRNA from 1 species
AUCUAACCUCAAAUCAGGCGGGACUACCCGCUGAACUUAA